CUGUGGUGGCAGUGGUCAAGCGUUAAAGAAAUAGUGUUCCUAAUUUAUACAAUCUAGGACACCAAUUAAGAAGGACUGCUUGGAUGUGUUUCAAGCCAGAAGGAAAGAAUCUUCUUAACAGAAUACAUAAAUUCCAGAGGAAUAGAUAUGAACAGGUUUACAGGAACAUCAUGACCUGACCUACGUGGACAGCAGCAAGAACAAAGGAUUCAGACACCAAGAAGUUUGCAACAACUAACCACUCCCCUCCCUCACCUUGCCUUUAAAAGUGCUUUGCUGAAACCCUUUGAGCAGUUUGGGGUUUUGGGGGCAUGAGCUGCAUGUCUCCUUG